rnacentral:rRNA from 1 species
AUUGAACGCUGGCGGCAUGCCUUACACAUGCAAGUCGAACGGCAGCACGGGAGCAAUCCUGGUGGCGAGUGGCGAACGGGUGAGUAAUAUAUCGGAACGUGCCCAGUCGUGGGGAUAACGUAGCGAAAGCUACGCUAAUACCGCAUACGAUCUAUGGAUGAAAGCGGGGGAUCGCAAGACCUCGCGCGAUUGGAGCGGCCGAUAUCAGAUUAGGUAGUUGGUGAGGUAAAGGCUCACCAAGCCGACGAUCUGUAGCUGGUCUGAGAGGACGACCAGCCACACUGGGACUGAGACACGGCCCAGACUCCUACGGAGGCAGCAGUGGGAAUUUUGGACAAUGGGCGCAAGCCUGAUCCAGCAAUGCCGCGUGCAGGAUGAAGGCCUUCGGUUG